rnacentral:rRNA from 1 species
CGAGGCAAAGCCGCGAGGCGGAGCGAAUCGCUAAAAGCCGUCCCAGUUCGGAUUGCAGGCUGCAACCCGCCUGCAUGAAGCUGGAAUCGCUAGUAAUCGCGAAUCAGAAUGUCGCGGUGAAUACGUUCCCGGGUCUUGUACACACCGCCCGUCACACCAUGGGAGUCGGAAAUGCCCGAAGUCAGUGACCCAACCGUAAGGAGGGAGCUGCCGAAGGUGGAGCCGGUAACUGGGGUGAAGUCGUAACAAGGUAGC